CUUCAAAAAUAAUAAUUUUUGUCAUAAGAAUGUAUAACUGGCUGGGCACAGUGGCUCACACCUGUAAUCCUAGCACUUUGGGAGGCCAAGGCAAGCAGAUCACAAGGUUAGGAGUUUGAGAUCAGCCUGACAAACAUGGUGAAACCCCAUCUGUACUAAAAAUGCAAAAGGAACCGGGUGUGGCGGCAUGUGCCUCUAAUCCCUGCUACUCAGGAGGCUGAGUUAGGAUAAUCUCUUGAACCUGGGAGGCAGAGGCUGCAGUGAGCCAAGAUCGUGCCACUGCACUCCAGCCUGGGCCACAGAACAAGACUCCAUCUCAAAAAAAAAAAACACAAAAGAAUGUAUAACUUACAUAAUACGAAAACAAUGAAAAAAAUUUAAGUUCCAAACUAAACAUUGACUUAGUUGCUAAAACCAUUAUUUAAAUGACAAUUGCCCUCCAUUCAGAUGCCCAGCGAGAGAUGAUACACAUUCAUCAUAUGAGGUGCCAUUUUAACAUGAAAUUUAUUAGCAGUAAUUUAAAACAUUACUUGAAGUUACUUUAUACAAUUGCAGCAUGCUUUCUAAUUUGAUUUCUGCAAGGUUGUGAUAUGCUGGUAAAGGUAAACUAGCUUGAGGGUUAAUGUACUCAAUGGAGAAGAGUGGGUUGUAUUAUUAGCUCUGUGUACCAGGGCUUUUUGGUUUUCUUUUGUUUUUAAAAUCAAGACUUUCUCUUAUUGCAUAACUCAGUGGGAGUAUAGUUGCUUAGUAACCCUGCACUGACUGGGGGCUGUUGCUCUCGGACCCGGGAGGAACCUGCGUGUGAAUGAGACAGCUGUCAGCAAGCCUACACUCAGGAUUUACCCGGUGCAGAGAGCUCCAAAAGAACACAGCAGAACUCCAGAGCCCUUGGCAUUCUGGCUCACUUGAAUUUGUCCUCCUGCCUAUGACAUAUUCUUUUCACACAUACAAUCAUUUGUUUGCAGUCUGGAAAUAUAAAACCAUUCAAGAAACGGAGCCCAACUAUUGGCUUUGUAACCUCUAUUAG
rnacentral:lncRNA from 13 species